UUAACUCAGUGGUAGAGUAAUGCUAUGGUAAGGCAUAAGUCAUCGGUUCAAAUCCGAUA
rnacentral:tRNA from 1 species